UCCCGUGAGUGCAUCCUUUUUCCCUCGGUUGUUUUCCGUAGAAUUUAAACUUUAAAUGUUAGGGUGAGACAAUGUCACUGAGAUAUGCACUAUUUGAUAUUACGAACCGCACCGAGCGUUCAUUGCGGGUGGUAAGCGAUCCUGAAGAAGAAAAAGAUGACUAUACAGGAUGAGUGGUACACGGACAGAAAAUUGUUUGCAUUGAACUAAAAAAAACUUUAUUCGUAUUUACACAAACAAUUCCGGUUGAAAUUAUGUUGCAUUUUAUUGUUUCGAUAAUAUUUAUUCAAAUAAAUUCAAAAUAAGAUUCUUUUUGUUUUCAUAAGCCACUCUUCAACUGCAACUAUUGUAAAAAUAACAAUAUUCUUUUAUCAAGCCAACAAUAGUUAAUUUUAAUUUAACAUUUAUUUGUUGUGUCAAUUCCCCGGGCCAUGAAUGCAAAAAUAACUACCAACCAUUCCCUCGUGAAAACCCGGACAAAAAUGUAAACAAUAACAAAAAAAUUCUCGUUUGAUUCAGCUCUAGAGUACUGCGUACCAAUGCUCCCAACGCCAGGAAGGUCGCUCCCACACCUGGACCCUACCUAUCGACCCAUCAACUCAUGAACC